rnacentral:rRNA from 1 species
ACUGCUCAGUAACACGUGGACAACCUACCCUUAGGUCUGGAAUAAACCUGGGAAACUGGGUAUAAUACCGGAUAGGUCUCGACUGCUGGAAUGCAUCGAGGCCCAAAGCUCCGGCGCCUAAGGAUGGGUCUGCGGCCUAUCAGGGUAGUAGUGGGUGUAAUGUACCUACUAGCCUACGACGGGUACGGGUCGUGAGAGCGAGAGCCCGGAGAUGGAUUCUGAGACACGAAUCCAGGCCCUACGGGGUGCAGCAGGCGCGAAAACUUUACAAUGCUGGAAACAGCGAUAGGGGGACUUUGAGUGCCAAGAUACAAUCUUGGCUGUCGUCGUGCCUAAAAAGCACGGCAUAGCAAGGGCCGGGCAAGACCGGUGCCAGCCGCCGCGGUAACACCGGCGGCUCGAGUGGUAACCGCUAUUAUUGGGUCUAAAGGGUCUGUAGCCGGCUGAAAAAGUCUCUUGGGAAAUCCGGUAGCUUAACUAUCGGGCUUUCAGGAGAUACUCUUCGGCUCGAGACCGGGAGAGGUGAGAGGUACUUCAUGGGUAGGGGUGAAAUCUUGUAAUCCUUGAAGGACCACCAGUGGCGAAGGCGUCUCACCAGAACGGUCCUGACGGCAAGGGACGAAAGCUAGGGGCACGAACCGGAUUAGAUACCCGGGUAGUCCUAGCCGUAAACGAUACUCGCUAGGUGUCAGCCACGGUGCGACCGUGGUUGGUGCCGUAGGGAAGCCGUGAAGCGAGCCACCUGGGAAGUACGGCCGCAAGGCUGAAACUUAAAGGAAUUGGCGGGGGAGCA